CGCAAUUUGUGGUGCUUUAAACA
rnacentral:siRNA from 1 species